rnacentral:rRNA from 1 species
AUUGAACGCUGGCGGCAUGCUUUACACAUGCAAGUCGAACGGGGUGAGGGGGCAACUCCUCAUCUAGUGGCGAACGGGUGAGUAAUGCAUCGGAACGUGUCCCGUAGUGGGGGAUAACCCGGCGAAAGCCGGACUAAUACCGCAUAUGCUCUACGGAGGAAAGUGGGGGAUCCGCAAGGACCUCACGCUAUGGGAGCGGCCGAUGUCCGAUUAGCUUGUUGGUGAGGUAAUGGCUCACCAAGGCGACGAUCGGUAGCUGGUCUGAGAGGAUGAUCAGCCACACUGGGACUGAGACACGGCCCAGACUCCUACGGGAGGCAGCAGUGGGGAA